GUCCGAGCCGCCGCCGCCCGCCGCGGGCAGCAGCGCCGUGAGGGGCUGCCCCGUUCCCGGGCCCUGCCGUUACCUGGGAGAGCCGGGGCUAUUUUUAACCUGGAUGUGUUCUGUGAUAUGUUUCCCACACAGCACAGAAACUGGCACAGCUGAAGGGCAGGAAAGAGCAUAGCUUUAAUUCCUGUUGGCUCAGUCACAUUUGCUCAACAUGACUGAAAACCCCCUUGACCUCUAGAAAUGCAAAAGUGAAUGUGGAUCUACAUUGGAAUCUUCUGCCCUUGUAAUCUUCUCUCUUGUAAUAUUUAAAAUCCUUAUUUGACUGAUGCUGCAGGUGGAGAGUAUUAGUUACCUCCCAUGACCACUCUGGCCACAAUGGCUUCCUUUGCUUGACAAGCUGAUUACUUUGUCAAGGCCGGGAGCCAGGAGGGCUGGCGCUCGGGACACCUCCUCCUGGUGCGCUGCCAAGGACGGUGGCGGUGUCCUGCGGCCAGAGCGGUGGCCCCGGGCACUCGGCAUCCGUCCUGCGGCUCGCCCGACCCUCCCCUCGAGACCUACUUCUGCCGGGACAGGCAAGGCUUAAAAAUGCCUUGGACCUGCAAACCGAGCACAGUUGCUCCGUGGAAGCCAGGGAAUCACAGGUCUCCUGCUUCUGCCUUUCCCCUUCCUGCUAUUUCGUUCUGAUUGCUGGGACUGUAAAACCUCUCUGGAGCAGGCACCGUUUCCCAUUGUGAAGCUACUUUGUAAACCUUCCUAACUGAAGGGACACACACAGAUACUCUUUUUCAUUCUUUCUUUUUUUUUUUUUUUUUUUUUUUUUGUCCCAAGAAUGAUGUAUUUGUCUGGUCUCCUUCCUCUACCAACUUCUUUUUGUGUGCACACUCUGUCCUGUGGCCCUCUUGGAGAAAAUUCUCUUUUUGAUGAAUUCCUGAGGCAAAGGCUGAGCAGCCAUCACAGGAAUUAGUGAUUUCCCACCUUGGGUUUUAAACUGUGAGCUCUGUGGAAGGAAGACUGAGAUUCUCAUGGCUGUGGAGAGCAUGGAGAGCACUUAGGAUGUGUAGGGCCCUAGUGAGAAAUGCAGAUGCAAUUAGUGAUCGUGCAGGUCUUCCAACAAAAGCAGCAGAGCUAGCCCAGCACCCAGGUCCUCCAGAAGCCUCAUGGGACUGGUGAGAAAAGAAAAAAACCACCCCAAGUGUGUUGGCCCCAGCUGAGGAGUUUUUGGCUCAUGACCUGUGGCCAUACUGCCUGGCCUGUCUCCCAGAGGUCAGUGAAAGGUAAGUGAGAAAGGAGACUUGUUGUCAGCAAGCACAAAUCCAAGGGAUAGGCUGUGUGACUGGGAGAUAGGAGGCUCCAUGAGUAGGAGAAAAAGGUAAAAAUGCCUGUCCUCACACCCAGAAGCAUGGCAGCUCAUGGAAGUGAGGUUGUUUCACAGGGCAGCCACCCUUCACUUCACUGUUGCUUUUUUGUUGUAUCAGAGAUAAGCUCCUGUGACAGUGUCCUCUUGGCCCUCAUCUUCUAGGGAUGAAAUAAAGAGCCAGCAGAGAACCGCUCAAACCAGUGUUGUCUUAAUUUUCCCUCUGGGCAGUGAGAAUACUUCAGAGCAGAGUGAAUGAGCCCAAAAUGGUAGAAGGAGAGUUUCUGUGUCACUACAGGUGAAGCCACAACCCUGGGAUACCCUCACCCUGCCAGCAACUGGUGGUUUUGAGGCAUCUUUGGGCCUUGCUUUCCCCUUCCUCUCUUUCCCACUUGGGUUCUUGGCUCCAGAUCUCCUCCAUCCCAUCUUGGCCAGGCCCCAGCUCUCCUGGGAUGGGGCUGUGAUGAGGAUGGGAAUGCCUGCUCACAUCUCACUUUCCACAUCUGUUAAAUGGGACCAUGAAAUUCUAACUUUAUAUGGAAGUGUUCCAGGCCAGGUUGGAUGGGGCUUGGAGCAAUCUGGUCUAGUGGAACGUGUCCCUGCUCAUGGCAGGAGAAUUGGAACUGGAUGGUCUUUAAAGGUCCUCCCAACCCAAACCAUUCUGUGAUUUUCUACAGUCCAUGGAAGGGUAAAAGCAGACAUGCAAUUGUUCAGCCAUCCAAAGGUGAUAGCUGGGAGAAUAUUUCUAUGCCUGAUAUACAUGAGAUCCUGUGUCAUUUUAAAGGCUUCAAAGAAAAGACAAGUCAUAUGCAGCGCCUGAGACAAAGCCAGGAAGGGGGAAAAGAGUCGUGUGUAACUGUAUUCUAUUUAUUCUAGGAAAGAGACACAUUUUAAAUUGUGUCUCAUCUAAAUUCCUGAACAUCUGACCAGAAAAGGCAAUGCAGCUUUCUCACUAGACAGAUGUCAGAGCAGGGGAGUGAGUCUUGUGACAAGAGACCAUCUGCAUCUCAGACUGAUUACCUGCUUUGAAGAGUGAAUAUAAAAAGUAGAGGGUUUUGGGUUUUUUUUAAACAAGAUGGCAAGACUUCAUUUCAGCUCUGGGACACCCAUCCCUGAAUGCUGGUGCUAUCCAGCUUCUGUGACAUUACUCACCCUGAUACAGAAAGCAAGAGCUGGGGAUUUUUCCUGUUUCAUUGGGCUACACCCAGUUGUAACCAUAUUUAACCUUCCUUUUUCUAGCUGCCAACACUGGGUGGCACUAAGUAACUCCUUCUGACAUUUUACAAAAUUGACUCUAAAACCUUGAAUCACACCGAUUUGGCUCCACUCUGUCUUGACAGCAAAUGGUUUUGUUUGAGAAACUUUGGAUCAUAUGGUUGUUGCAUAGAAACAUCUGACUUGCAUGGCAUGUUUUGUACUUCCCUGGUUUGUUAGGUUGUUAAAACUCUUAUGAAACUCUGGCCUUACAGCCUGGUAAAGGUUGAAUGUGCUGUUGGACUUGAAAGCCAAAUUUCCUGUGUUGAGUCAAGAAUUUAUGGAAUACUUGAAUAUAUAGACCUGAAUAUCCAAUCUGUGCUUUAUGACAGAGGUUUAAAUAAGUCUCACUGAAAGGCUGAGGUUGAAAGGCACCUCUGGGGAUCAUGUAGGCCAAGUCUUCUACUUGAGCAAGGUCAGCCAAAGCAGGGUUAACCAGGUGGUCCCCAAAGGGUUCCAGGAGCCGGUUGCCAGCCCCAGAGUUUCCUUGUCAGUCUCUAACCAGAGCCUGGACACUGCCAUGUCUGCUGGCUACCACUGCCAGCUACACUCUGUAAAAAUCCUGCUAAAAUAAAUCAGCUUUAAAAGAAACACCCCACAAACACAUGGCUGUCACCCCCACUGGCUGUGCUCACCCUACAAGCACCCAGCCACCCUUUAACCAGCCUGUCCAGUGGGCUCUGGGAGAUGCUGGUGCAUAUGGUGAUGGAGGUGGCAAAAGAUCAGGGCCAAGUGGUUUGUCCUCAGAGGACACCCAGGUCUAUGAGCAGCCUGACCUGGUGGCCAUGCCCAUGAUGGAAGGUUGGAACUAGAUGAUCUUUAAGGCCCCUUCCAGCUCAAGCCAUUCUAUGAUGCUAUGGCAAUGGCUUGUGGCCAUUGUCAGCUACGCCACUGUGGAGCCCACUGCCAUGUCCUGGUAACAAACAUUACCAUUGUUGUGCAUGUACCUGUCCCUAAGAAGGUGUUUACAUUCUAACAGAGAGCAGAUGGCAUAACCUGAUGGACACAUAAAGAUGUGUGUCCUGAAAGGAGGACAUAGAAGCACCACUUAUAGUAGCUAAAAAUGCUCAAUACAGAAAUUAGGUGAGCAAGUCUUGACAGACUGGCCAUGGCCAUUCUGACAGCAGUGGGAGAGGUGCAGCUGAGGAAGAAGCUGCCCAGGGUGAGAGAUGGUAACUGCUGAAGGUCCUUGAUGUCUCCCAACAGAAGAGCAGGCAGAGGGUGAGACCAUCUGGCAACUACAUUGGAGCCAGGGCAGCAAGGAUCAUAUAGGAAGCAGUACCUGCAGUAUCCCUUCCCUCUCCUGUGGCAGUGGGAAGGGGGCACAAGUAAAGCAAAUGAUGUCUGAAGAACAGCUUAGUCACUGAAAAGCACAGCUUCUGGUUGACUGAAGCUAUCUGCCAAUUGGUGUGCAACCAUUCAUCAGAAUUAGCCCCGAAAAUUAGAAACAUAAAAAUGGCUUGCUUUGUUGGUUUGAGGUUCCUUUUACUUGUUUUUUGAAGAUGAUCUCAAAAGGAAACCUCAGCUGGAGCGAGGAUUUACC